rnacentral:rRNA from 1 species
CCUACGGGAGGCAGCAGUGAGGAAUAUUCCACAAUGGGGGAAACCCUGAUGGAGCGAUGCCGCGUGCAGGAAGACGCUUUUCGGAGUGUAAACUGCUUUUAACAAGGAAGAUUAUGACGGUACUUGUAGAAUAAGGACCGGCUAACUACGUGCCAGCAGCCGCGGUAAUACGUAGGGUCCAAGCGUUAUUCGGAAUUACUGGGCGUAAAGCGUUCGUAGGCGGUUUGAUAAGUUGGAUGUGAAAUCCUGUGGCUCAACCACAUGGACUGUGUCCAAAACUAUCUGACUAGAGCAUAGUAGAGGCAAGUGGAAUUUGCGGUGUAGGAGUGACAUCCGUAGAUAUCGCAAGGAACACCAAUGGCGAAGGCAGCUUGCUGGGCUAUUGCUGACGCUCAGGAACGAAAGCGUGGGGAGCGAACGGGAUUAGAUACCCCGGGUAGUCCACGCCGUAAACGAUGAUCACUAGCAGUAUGGAGAUUCGACCCUNUGUGUUGCACAGCUAGCGCGUUAACGUUAGUAGUCCGCCGUCGGGGUAGGUACGGGCGGCGACGACGUUAAACCGUACAAUAGUAAGUUAGUACGGCGUGAGACGUGCCGACGGACGACGACGAGGGAGGUUAGG